rnacentral:rRNA from 1 species
CGAAGCAACGCGAAGAACCUUACCAGGUCUUGACAUCCCCUGACAACCCGAGAGAUCGGCGUUCCCCUUCGGGGGACAGGGUGACAGGUGGUGCAUGGUUGUCGUCAGCUCGUGUCGUGAGAUGUUGGGUUAAGUCCCGCAACGAGCGCAACCCUCGACCUUAGUUGCCAGCAUUCAGUUGGGCACUCUAAGGUGACUGCGGCUAAAAGUCGGAGGAAGGUGGGGAUGACGUCAAAUCAUCAUGCCCCUUAUAACCUGGGCUACACACGUGCUACAAUGGGCGGUACAAAGGGUCGCGAACCCGCAGGGGGAGCCAAUCCCAAAAAGCCGCUCUCAGUUCGGAUUGCAGGCUGGCAACUCGCCUGCAUGAAGCCGGAAUCGCUAGUAAUCGCGGAUCAGCAUGCCGCGGUGAAUACGUUCCCGGGCCUU